UCCCUGGUGGUCCAGUGGUUAGGACUCAGCACUAUCACUGCCAUGGCCCAGGUUCAAUCCCUUGUCAGGGAG